CAAGUUCAAGGGUGUAGGCUGAUAGUUUAGGCAAAUCCGGACUAUCUUAAGGCUGAGACCUGAUGUCGAGUCACUACGGUGAUGAAGUCAUUGAUGCCAUGCUUCCGGGAAAAGCCUCUAAGCGAUAGGUUAUACGUAAUCGUACUCCAAACCGACACAGGUGAUCAGGUAGAGAAUACCAAGGCGCUUGAGAGAACUCGGGUGAAGGAACUAGGCAAAAUGGUACCGUAACUUCGGGAGAAGGUACGCUGCCGACGGUGAUAGGAUUUACUCCUUGAGCUAUUGGCAGCCACAGAAACCAGGCCCCUGCAACUGUUUAUUAAAAACAUAGCACUCUGCAAACACGAAAGUGGACGUAUAGGGUGUGAUGCCUGCCCGGUGCUGGAAGGUUAAUUGAUGGGGUUAGCGUAAGCGAAGCUCUUGAUCGAAGCCCCAGUAAACGGCGGCCGUAACAAUAACGGUCCUAAGGUAGCGAAAUUCCUUGUCGGGUAAGUUCCGACCUGCACGAAUGGCGUAAUGAUGGCCACGCUGUCUCCACCCGAGACUCAGUGAAAUUGAAAUCGCAGUGAAGAUGCUGUGUACCCGCGGCUAGACGGAAAGACCCCGUGAACCUUUACUACAGCUUGGCACUGAACAUUGACCCUACAUGUGUAGGAUAGGUGGGAGCCUUUGAAACCUCGUCGCUAGAUGGGGUGGAGGCAAUCUUGAAAUACCACCCUUGUAUGCUUGAUGUUCUAACGUCGCCCCCUUAUCGGGGGUGCGGACAGUGCCUGGUGGGUAGUUUGACUGGGGCGGUCUCCUCCCAAAGAGUAACGGAGGAGCACGAAGGUGGGCUAAACACGGUUGGACAUCGUGUGGUUAGUGCAAUGGCAUAAGCCCGCUUGACUGCGAGAAUGACAAUUCGAGCAGGUGCGAAAGCAGGUCAUAGUGAUCCGGUGGUUCUGAAUGGAAGGGCCAUCGCUCAACGGAUAAAAGGUACUCUGGGGAUAACAGGCUGAUACCGCCCAAGAGUUCAUAUCGACGGCGGUGUUUGGCACCUCGAUGUCGGCUCAUCACAUCCUGGGGCUGAAGUCGGUCCCAAGGGUAUGGCUGUUCGCCAUUUAAAGUGGUACGCGAGCUGGGUUUAGAACGUCGUGAGACAGUUCGGUCCCUAUCUGCCGUGGGCGUUAGAUGAUUGAGAGGGGCUGCUCCUAGUACGAGAGGACCGGAGUGGACGAACCGCUGGUGUUCGGGUUGUGAUGCCAAUCGCAUUGCCCGGUAGCUACGUUCGGAAUCGAUAAGCGCUGAAAGCAUCUAAGCGCGAAGCGAGCCUCAAGAUGAGUCAUCUCUAGACCUUUAAGGUCUCUAAAGGGUUGUCGAAGACUACGACGUUGAUAGGCAGGGUGUGUAAGUGCUGCGAGGCAUUGAGCUAACCUGUACUAAUUGC
rnacentral:rRNA from 1 species